GAUGAACGCUAGCGGCAGGCUUAACACAUGCAAGUCGAGGGGUAGAAGUUGCUUGCAACUUUGAGACCGGCGCACGGUUGCGUAACGCGUAUGCAAUCUACCUUAUACAGAGGGAUAGCCCAGAGAAAUUUGGAUUAAUACCUCAUAGUAUAAUUGAAUGGCAUCAUUUAAUUAUUAAAGUUCCAACGGUAUAAGAUGAGCAUGCUUCCUAUUAGCUAGAUGGUAAGGUAACGGCUUACCAUGGCAACGAUAGGUAGGGGUCCUGAGAGGGAGAUACCGCGCACAGGUACUGAGACACGGACCAGACUCCAACGGGAGGCAGCAGUAAGGAAUAUUGGACAAUGGGCGCAAGCCUGAUCCAGCCAUGCCGCGUGCAGGAAGAAGCAUCUAUGGUGUGUAAACUGCUUUUGUACGGGAAGAAACACCCCUUCGUGAAGGGACUUGACGGUACCGUAAGAAUAAGGAUCGGCUAACUCCGUGCCAGCCGCCGCGGUAAUAC
rnacentral:rRNA from 1 species